CUUGGGUCCCCUUUCAUGCUGUGGAAGCUUUGUUCUUUUGCUCUUCACAAUAAAUCUUGCUGCUGCUCACUCUUUGGGUCUGCAUUACCUUUAAGAGCUGUAACACUCACUGCAAAGGUCUGUGGCUUCACUCCUGAAGUCAGUGAGACCACGAAACUACUGGGAGGAACAAACAACUCUGGAUGUGCCACCUUUAAAAGCUGUAACGCUCACUGGGAAGGUCUGCAGCUUCACUCCUGAAGUCAGUGAGACCACAAACGCACUGGAAGGAAGAAACUCGACACAUCUGAACAACUGAAGGAAAAAACUCCAGACACACCAUCUUUAAGAACUGUGACACUCACCAUGAGGGUCCGCAGCUUCAUUCUUGAAGUCAGCAAGGCCAGGAACCCACCAGAAGGAAUCAAUACUGGACACAUUUUGGCGAUCACGAAGGGACUAUUGCCUAUCGCUAAGCGAUGGGAAACACUCAGGCAACAACAGGCUCA
rnacentral:lncRNA from 1 species